rnacentral:rRNA from 1 species
UACGUAGGGACCGAGCGUUGUCCGGAUUCAUUGGGCGUAAAGAGCUCGUAGGCGGCUGUUCAAGUCGAACGUGAAAACUCGGAGCUCAACUCCGAGCCUGCGUUCGAUACUGGACGGCUAGAGUCUGGUAGGGGGAUCUGGAAUUCCUGGUGUAGCGGUGGAAUGCGCAGAUAUCAGGAGGAACACCGGUGGCGAAGGCGGGAUCCUGGGCCAGUACUGACGCUGGGGAGCGAAAGCGUGGGGAGCAAACAGG